rnacentral:sRNA from 12 species
CUUUGGCUAUCCAAAGCGUCGCCGGUGCCACGGAGUUAGGCCGUGGGUUCCAGAUUGUGAAAAUGCCCGGAG